UACGUAGGGAGCGAGCGUUGUCCGGAUUCAUUGGGCGUAAAGAGCUCGUAGGCGGCUUGGUAAGUCGGAUGUGAAACCUCCAGGCUCAACCUGGAGUCGCCAUCCGAUACUGCCAUGGCUAGAGUCCGGUAGGGGCCCACGGAAUUCCUGGUGUAGCGGUGAAAUGCGUAGAGAUCAGGAGGAACACCGGUGGCGAAGGCGGCCCACUGGGCAGUCACUGACGCUGAGGCGCGAAAGCUCGGGGAGCGAACGGG
rnacentral:rRNA from 1 species